rnacentral:misc_RNA from 1 species
AAACUCGCUAAGAAACUCAAGGUGAAGAAUGAGAAAUUGCGAGGAGAGGAUGAUAUCGAUAUGUUACUUGAAGGAAUUCCUUCUGUAGUUGACUGUAACAGUCAACUGAAUGAAUCUCUGGAGGGUACUGAUACUGACUCUUCACACAAGAAACUGAAAAAAAAGACAGUGGUUGAAGUUUUAGAUGGUAAACUGGUUUCUGAGGAUG